GAUGAACGCUAGCGGCAGGCUUAAUACAUGCAAGUCGAGGGGCAGCACAGAUAGCAAUAUUGGGUGGCGACCGGCAAACGGGUGCGGAACACGUACACAACCUUCCUUUUAGUGUGGGAUAGCCCAGAGAAAUUUGGAUUAAUACCACAUAGUAUAUUGGAGUGGCAUCACUUUGAUAUUAAAGAUUUAUCGCUAAAAGAUGGGUGUGCGUAUGAUUAGGUAGUUGGUAGAGGUAACGGCUCACCAAGCCUUCGAUCAUUAACUGGUGUGAGAGCACGACCAGACACACGGGCACUGCGACACGGGCCCGACUCCGACGAGAGGCAGCAGUAAGGAAUAUUGGUCAAUGGACGGAAGUCUGAACCAGCCAUGCCGCGUGAAGGAUGACGGCCCUCUGGGUUGUAAACUUCUUUUAUGUGGGACGAAAAAGGGCCAUUUUUGGUCAACUGACGGUACCAUAGGAAUAAGCACCGGCUAACUCCGUGCCAGCCGCCGCCGUAA
rnacentral:rRNA from 1 species